CCAAAAUAACAAGAUGCAGUUUGGGUAAGCAGAAGGUGAUGUCCCCAUUCCUGUCACUGGAGACUGAUCAACUUCAGUUCUCGUUGCGUGUGCCAACUCUUUCUCCUACAGAUUCCUAGAUUUCCAAAGAAAAGUAAUUAUUGAGGUGAUGCAAAGGACUCAUCGCUUUGUGCGUAACUCCAAUCAAGAGCCUGAAGGGCACCAAAACAGACGUGCCACUGGAGCCUGCUACUACGCACAACUGGCAUCUUUGUUACACCGCUGGAGGCGCUGAGCCUGCUGCUUCCACUGCCAGAGCUACGAGAUCGCUACCGGUGGAGCUUCAGCCUGUUCAGCCAUUACAGAGGUGCUACUGGGCCUGGAUCAGACAAGAGGAAAAAACCCUGCUGUGAGAGCUGCCAUCAGAAGUGGCAAAAGUCACAGCUGAAGUAUUCGGUGAAGUUAGUGACGUGGGACGAUUCCUAGCAACUGGGAAGCCACAAAAAUGAAAUGGUAAGCUAGUUUUUCUUCUGUUGCAGAGCAGCUGAAGCUUGGAGGCAGAGGGAAUUUGGUUUCAUUAUCAAAGAAAAAUAAUUUCAAGAGUAAACUGUAUAUACAAUUAAUUUCGCCCACAUGAGAACGCAAGAAGGAAAUAUGGACCUGGUGUUUGUUUGUGACUGAAGCCACAUCCCCUUAGGGCCAUUGAGAAAGCUCAGAUGUAAAGAGAAAAGUUGUGAUCCACACCAAAGACUAGAAGAUGAAACAAGACAAGGAUUCUAAUCCAUGCAGAUUUCUAUCCAAAUUUUCUUCACAGAUGAGGAAGUUGUGAAACAGGGCAUAGUUUAUGCCAGAGAAAAAGCCUUUGAUCUCUGCUGUAGCAUUCCAAUAAAACAUUCAGCAUUUCUCUAUUUCUCUCACUUUAUUAGGGAGCCUGCUCUUUGGAUGGUUGCCUGCCUACUGUUUGCAUCUCUACCCAGAGGUCAACCAGACACAACGUGCUAUGCAUUCGUUGGAGAAACUGUCAUUUUGCCUUGCACCAUCCCCUCUCCUGGGGAGAUGGAUGUUUCCAAUUCAAAGGUCUACUGGCAGAUAGAGUCUAUCUUAGUGCAUUUUUUUCACAAUGGAGAAGAUUCACUGGUGGGCCAGGAUACAAACUACCAUGNNNNNNNNNNNNNNNNNNNNNNNNNNNNNNNNNNNNNNNUUAGAGGAUGA
rnacentral:lncRNA from 1 species